GCUCUUUGGCUCUGACCAUGCCAGCAGGCUUCACGGUUCUCGUUUUCCAAAGAGGAACACAGAUUCAGCGAGCGGCUGCUGGCUUCUGACCCAUUUUGAUGUCAGGGCUUGGCACGUAGGAGGUGUUCAAUGUUGAUCGAUCCAAGGUCGUGCACAUAGGGUCUAAGACGGAAGAGAACUUCCUGCCCCUCUUGGAGCUUCUAUUUUAGAGGGAGACACGGCCAGACAGGUCUCGAACUCCUGGCCUCAAGUGAUCCGCACACCUUGGCCUCCCAAAAUGCUGGGAUUCCAGGCGUGAGCCACCGCGCCUGGCCUGGAGCCAGGGCCCCAUAUUAUCUACCGCUGUCCAUCUGCUCUCCAGCACAUCAGAGCAGCCCUUCCCCUGUGUGAGAUUCCUCUCCAGGGCAAGACUUGAAGGGAGCAUCAAGGUUGCAGUGGAAGAAAUAAAUUGGAAGUGGAGCUGG
rnacentral:lncRNA from 1 species